rnacentral:misc_RNA from 1 species
GGGUAUUAGAUUCUUGCUAGGUUUAGGAGUGUUGAGUCACAAUAGAGAAUUGAUGCCCGGAUGUCUCGGACUUGCCCUGUUAAUAGAGUUCUUAUGGGGACAAGAGUCUUUUCACAUUAGGAUUCUAACUCAGUAUGUGAGUAUCUUGGAAUCCCAUAUUUGGAAGAGGGAGAUCUUUGCCCGAGUAUCCUUGAGCGAGCAACUUCUAUGGGCGAUCGCCCUUGCUCCUUAUUCCUACAAAAUGGGUGAUCGCCUCGUGGGUAUGAUGAGCAACCUUUAUUUUAGUUGGGCGGGCGGAUGCCCUAUAGGUGAGUGGAAUUGGGGCGAGCAACAUCAAGCCUGUUUUCAUUUGGGUUACUCGAAUAGAUUAGGGUUUAGUUAUUUAAUGGGGCUUGGGCUCUUAUCUAUUAAGUCUCUUUGUUGCUUUGUAGAUUGGGCUACUUUAAUGGGCUUGUUGCUGUAUAACCCCUUCUUUUU